rnacentral:rRNA from 1 species
GACGAACGCUGGCGGCGUGCUUAACACAUGCAAGUCGAACGAAGUGGCGUACGGGUGAGUAACGCGUAAUCAACCUGCCCUUCAGCGGGGUACAACAGUUGGAAACGACUCCUAAUACCGCAUACUGAAGUAGGGGAUUGCGUCUGAUUAGCUAGUUGGGGGGGUAACGGCCCACCAAGGCGAUGAUCAGUAGCCGGUCUGAGAGGAUGAACGGCCACACUGGGACUGAGACACGGCCCAGACUCCUACGGGAGGCAGCAGUGGGGAAUCUUCCGCAAUGGAGGAAAGUCUGACGGAGCAACGCCGCGUGAGUGAUGACGGCCUUCGGGUUGUAAAGCUCUGUUAGUCGGGACGCGGUACCGGAAUAGAAAGCCACGGCUAACUACGUGCCAGCAGCCGCGGUAAUAC